GAUGAACGCUAGCGAUAGGCCUAACACAUGCAAGUCGAGGGGCAUCACAUGAAGUAGCAAUACGGAUGGUGGCGACCGGCGCACGGGUGAGUAACACGUAUGCAACCUGCCUUCAACAAGGGGAUAACCCGUUGAAAGACGGACUAAUACCCUAUAACACAGGGGUCCCGCAUGGGAAUAUUUGUUAAAGGACAACCGGUUGAAGAUGGGCAUGCGUUCCAUUAGAUAGUUGGAGAGGUAACGGCUCCCCAAGUCAACGAUCAUUAGGGGUUCUGAGAGGAAGGUCCCCCACACUGGUACUGAGACACGGACCAGACUCCUACGGGAGGCAGCAGUGAGGAAUAUUGGUCAAUGGACGCAAGUCUGAACCAGCCACGUCGCGUGAAGGAAGACGGCCCUACGGGUUGUAAACUUCUUUUGCAAGGGAAUAAAGUGGGCCACGUGUGGCCUUUUGCAAGUACCUUGCGAAUAAGGAUCGGCUAACUCCGUGCCAGCAGCCGCGGUAAUUACGC
rnacentral:rRNA from 1 species